rnacentral:rRNA from 1 species
UACGGGGGGGGCAAGCGUUGUUCGGAAUUACUGGGCGUAAAGGGCUCGUAGGCGGCCAACUAAGUCAGACGUGAAAUCCCUCGGCUUAACCGGGGAACUGCGUCUGAUACUGGAUGGCUUGAGUUUGGGAGAGGGAUGCGGAAUUCCAGGUGUAGCGGUGAAAUGCGUAGAUAUGACAUAGAACACCCAUUGCGAAGGCAGCUAACUACGCGAUUAUUGACGCUGAUGCACGAAAGCGUGGGGAUCAAACAGG